UGAUCGAUGAUGGGAACAAGGCUCUGAGGAUGGCGAUUGACUAAUGACUAUGCCAAUCUUAGUUCC
rfam:Mesocricetus auratus contig197572, whole genome shotgun sequence.